GGUCGGAUAGCUUACGGGUCAGAGCAUCUGCCUCGUAAGCAGAAGACCCGGGUUCGAAUCCCGGUUCGGCACA